rnacentral:tRNA from 2 species
GGGGCUGUAGUAUAGCUUGGUAGUACUCCAGGUUUGGGACCUGGUCGCCUCGGUUCAAAUCCGAGCAGCCUCA